rnacentral:rRNA from 1 species
CACGUAGGGCGCAAGCGUUGUCCGGAAUUAUUGGGCGUAAAGAGCUCGUAGGCGGUCUGUUGCGUCCGCUGUGAAAACUCGGGGCUUAACCCCGAGCCUGCAGUGGAUACGGGCAGACUAGAGGUAGGUAGGGGAGAAUGGAAUUCCCGGUGUAGCGGUGAAAUGCGCAGAUAUCGGGAGGAACACCAGUGGCGAAGGCGACUUCCUGGCCUGUUCUUGACGCUGAGGUGCGAAAGCGUGGGGAGCAAACAGG